CCUACGGGGAGCAGCAGUGGGGAAUAUUGCACAAUGGGCGAAAGCCUGAUGCAGCAACGCCGCGUGAGAGAUGAAGGCCUUCGGGUCGUAAAGCUCUGUCCUCAAGGAAGAGAAUGACGGUACUUGAGGAGGAAGCCCCGGCGAACUACGUGCCAGCAGCCGCGGUAAUACGUAGGGGGCUAGCGUUAUCCGGAAUUACUGGGCGUAAAGGGUGCGGAGGUGGUUUCUUAAGUCAGAGGUGAAAGGCUACGGCUCAACCGUAGUAAGCCUUUGAAACUGGGGAACUUGAGUGCAGGAGAUGAGAGUGGACUUCCUAGUGUAGCGGUGCAAUGCGUAGAUAUAAGGAAGAACCCCAGUGGCGAAGGCGGAUGACUGGACGGCAACUGACGCUGAGGCGCGAAAGCGUGGGGCGCAAACAGGAUUAGAUACCCCGGUAGUC
rnacentral:rRNA from 1 species